CGACAUAUGGCGGAAUUGGCAGACGCGCCAGAUUUAGGUUCUGGUGUUUAUUCGUGAGAGUUCGAAUCUCUCUAUGUCGA
rnacentral:tRNA from 2 species